rnacentral:lncRNA from 1 species
CUACCACUAAUCACUUUCAUUUGACAUGUCAUAAAGAACUUCUUCACACAUGAGGACUGUUUAGGUGAGUGACAAAUGGAUCAAAGAACUCACCAGUUGUCAUACUUACAGCUGUACAAUGGGCUACUAAUAAGUUGUAGUAACUAUUUUGCUCACACAACUUGGCCACUAACCUGUAUUUAAAUGCAUAAUACUAUUGCUAGCUUCUGUUUCUGUCUCUGUAUCAAUGACUUGUCCGGUCCUUGUGCCAGCUUAUCACCUGUGUCGUGCUAGAUUGGCUGCUUUGCUAUCACUCUUUAUUCUAUCAGCAUACAUUGGCAGACGAAUGUUCUCGUUAAUUUCUUUCAGUAAAACUUCCUCUGUAAUAUUGUCCUUUAUACUUCUCAAAACCUGUCUCCAAUUUAUUGAAAACUUAAUAUUCAGGAAAGUUUGGGACUAAUAUCAGCUUAGGAAUAAAUUUCAAAAGAAAUACCAACAGGCUGACCAUUCUGUAGGCUGGCCUGAUUUGUUGGUAUCAUCUGCAGUUUUCGAAUAUGCUAACUAGUACUGUCUAUUUUCUAAUAUGUUGAACUGGUACUAUCUGUUCCGUGGAUUUUUGAUGCAGGCUUCUAAUAAUGGAAAAUUAGAAAUUAUUGGAGAACAAAAUUGACGAAGAAGAGAUGGAAGAAGAGAUAGACGAUGAAUUUUAUGAGACGGUUAAGCUUUUGUGAUGAUAAUUGAUGCAAUUUUGACCAUCUUGAGAGAUUAUAUAAACAUGAUGCAUGAACCUAUCCGCCGUUCUCUUACACGAUGACCAGUAGCGAGACUCGGAUAUCAUUUUGUAAAUAAUUGAUGAAGAUUCACAUAAUUUUCGUGAAUUACAUAGAACAUAUGUCUUUCUCAAGCUGUGUUGUAUAAUAAAAAAAGGAACUUUUUGGGAAAAUACAAAAUAUGUAUCCAUUGAAGAAAUGUUAGCUACUUUUCUACUAAUUGUGGAAUACAAUGAUCACUGUUGUAAUGUUAGGCAAAAGGUUUAAUCGCUCACACUUUGCUACUGGUACAAAUUUUAACAAAGUUCCGAAUAUUUUGAACACUAUAGCACCAUAAUUAAUGGUAAAGCCGGUAGGUGUUUCUACCAAAAUUUUUGAGAGCACAAGAUUUUAUCCUUUAUUUUAAGAUAUUAUUUUAAUUGUAAUCCAUUAGUUAACCAUAAUUUGAUUUGAUUUCGAAACUUUAAUUUUUUUCUUGAAACUCAUAUCCCAACUAUGAUACGAGGUCGGGAAGUAAGUAGCUACCAUAAUCGGCAUGGAUUCAAUUCUUAAAAUAUUUUAGUUACUUGCAACUUCGAUUUGGAAUUCAUGCUUAGUGGGUGGGUAGGUUUGGCACAUGAUUCAAAAAUUUUAAAUGAUGCAUUAUCAAAAAGAAAUGGGCUUGAAGUUCCCCAAAGUAUAUAAAUUUCAUUAUUUAUUCUUCUAUUAUAAAUUAUUGUUCAAAGUAAUUGUAUAUCUCACGCUUAUUUAUUGUACACUUUUAUUUUUGGGAAAAGAAAUAUUUUCUUCUAAAUUGUGGAUUUGCUAAUCGUUGUCAGUUUUUAGCUCCUCUGAGCGGUGUCCGAUAUCAUCUAAAAGAUCUUGAUGGCCACCCAAGAAAUGCAAAUGAGCAUUUUAAUCUCCGUCAUUCGUCAUUGAGAAAUGUGAUUGAGAGAAUUUUUGGUGUAUUCAAAACAAGAUUUACAAUAUUAAAAGUUGCAGCUUUGUUUUCAUUUCAAACACAAGCAGAAUUGGUAUUAGCUUGUAUUGGAUUACACAACUUUCUUCGGAAACAAUGCCGCUCUGAUGGAUUUUCGGUUGAAAAUAGAUAUGUUUCCGACUUGUUAAAAUAAGACAUAAAUGAGAAAUCUAUAUCUGUACAAUCAUAAAAGCUAAAGCUAGUAAUUUUCAGAUCUAAAGGCAACAACUUGCAAAAUGGACGCAUAAUUUUUACAAAAAACUCCUUGACACCAUGACAUUUAAGGUUUUAUGGACAUGGACUUUUCUAUCUGCAUAGUUAAUAUAAGAGUUGCAACUUCUGCAAUCAUGAUUGCAAAUAUUGCAAACAAGAUAGCAAAGAUGCAACUGAUAGAAAUAAUUGAAUCUGACUAUUAAGAUGGUUUUCCACAGGGGGCCAGUUAUACAAAAUCAAUACAAUUAAAAUAGACCCAAAAAGUCUACAGGAUCAAAGUCUACGGACUUUAUUACAAAUAAUUAAUCUUCUUGACAAUUGCAUGUAAAAAAGAACUUGACUCAUUGACAGUUCUUGACUUAUCAACAAGCCUGCAUAAUUUUGAAAACAUAAUUGAAAGUGUGCACAAUUAGGUUUAUAUAUUUUUUUUGUACUAAUCAUAUCCCAAAAAUCUAAAUAAACACAUAACAACAUUAAGAUUAAGAUUUCACAGAAGGACAAAAUGGAUUCAAAUAUACAAACCCAACUACAAGAUUCUAGUAUGAAGGACUUUCAUAUACCUCAAAGGUUGGAAUCAUAUUGUCUUGAAUUGUUAGGUUGAACCUUUUGCCUUUUUCUUUUGUCUUUGAUUUUUCAAUUUCAACUUUCUUCGGUGCCAACUUAGUAACAAACUUUGAAGCAGAGCCACGCUAUGAAGGAGAGUGAGACAGUGACGAGAAUCUUGUAUGAACCAUUAUAUAUAACGGUAGUCUAUCUUGUGACCUGAGGGCACAGGUUAAGUUAACCUAUCAUAUUUGCUCUCUUUUUCUGCAACUUGGACUCUCUCUCUUCUCUUUUUUCACCUGACAUUAAU